rnacentral:rRNA from 1 species
ACGAACGCUGGCGGCGUGCCUAAUACAUGCAAGUUGAGCGAUGAAGAUUGGUGCUUUCACCACUUUGAAGAUCAGCGAACGGGUUAGUAACUCGUUGGGAAUCUGCCUUUUAGCUGGGGACAACAUUUGGAAACGAAUGCUAAUACCGCAUAACAACUUUAAACAUUAUUUUUAAGUUUUAAAUAUGCAAUUUCAUCACUCAAAGAUGAUCCCUCGUUGUAUUAGCUAGUUGGUGUGGUAAAGGCUCACCAAGGCGAUGAUACAUAGCCGACCUGAGAGGGUGAUCGGCCAAAUUGGGACUGAGACACGGCCAAAACAACUACGGGAGGCAGCAGUAGGGAAUCUUAGGCAAUGGACGAAAGUAUGACAGAGCAACGCCGAGUGAGUGAAGAAGGUGUUCGGAUCGUAAAACUCUGUUGGUAGAGAAGAACGUUGGUGAGAGUGGAAAGCUAAUCAAGUGACGGAAAAAAAAAAGAAAGGGACGGCUAACUACGU